rnacentral:rRNA from 1 species
UUAAGCGACUAAGCGUACACGGUGGAUGCCCUGGCAGUCAGAGGCGAUGAAGGACGUGCUAAUCUGCGAUAAGCGUCGGUGAGGUGAUAUGAACCGUUAUAACCGGCGAUUUCCGAAUGGGGAAACCCAGUGUGUUUCGACACACUAUCAUUAACUGAAUCCAUAGGUUAAUGAGGCGAACCGGGGGAACUGAAACAUCUAAGUACCCCGAGGAAAAGAAAUCAACCGAGAUUCCCCCAGUAGCGGCGAGCGAACGGGGAGGAGCCCAGAGCCUGAAUCAGUGUGUGUGUUAGUGGAAGCGUCUGGAAAGGCGCGCGAUACAGGGUGACAGCCCCGUACACAAAAAUGCACAUAUUGUGAGCUCGAUGAGUAGGGCGGGACACGUGGUAUCCUGUCUGAAUAUGGGGGGACCAUCCUCCAAGGCUAAAUACUCCUGACUGACCGAUAGUGAACCAGUACCGUGAGGGAAAGGCGAAAAGAACCCCGGCGAGGGGAGUGAAAAAGAACCUGAAACCGUGUACGUACAAGCAGUGGGAGCCUCUUAAUGGGGUGACUGCGUACCUUUUGUAUAAUGGGUCAGCGACUUAUAUUCUGUAGCAAGGUUAACCGAAUAGGGGAGCCGAAGGGAAACCGAGUCUUAACUGGGCGUUAAGUUGCAGGGUAUAGACCCGAAACCCGGUGAUCUAGCCAUGGGCAGGUUGAAGGUUGGGUAACACUAACUGGAGGACCGAACCGACUAAUGUUGAAAAAUUAGCGGAUGACUUGUGGCUGGGGGUGAAAGGCCAAUCAAACCGGGAGAUAGCUGGUUCUCCCCGAAAGCUAUUUAGGUAGCGCCUCGUGAAUUCAUCUCCGGGGGUAGAGCACUGUUUCGGCAAGGGGGUCAUCCCGACUUACCAACCCGAUGCAAACUGCGAAUACCGGAGAAUGUUAUCACGGGAGACACACGGCGGGUGCUAACGUCCGUCGUGAAGAGGGAAACAACCCAGACCGCCAGCUAAGGUCCCAAAGUCAUGGUUAAGUGGGAAACGAUGUGGGAAGGCCCAGACAGCCAGGAUGUUGGCUUAGAAGCAGCCAUCAUUUAAAGAAAGCGUAAUAGCUCACUGGUCGAGUCGGCCUGCGCGGAAGAUGUAACGGGGCUAAACCAUGCACCGAAGCUGCGGCAGCGACACUAUGUGUUGUUGGGUAGGGGAGCGUUCUGUAAGCCUGUGAAGGUGUACUGUGAGGUAUGCUGGAGGUAUCAGAAGUGCGAAUGCUGACAUAAGUAACGAUAAAGCGGGUGAAAAGCCCGCUCGCCGGAAGACCAAGGGUUCCUGUCCAACGUUAAUCGGGGCAGGGUGAGUCGACCCCUAAGGCGAGGCCGAAAGGCGUAGUCGAUGGGAAACAGGUUAAUAUUCCUGUACUUGGUGUUACUGCGAAGGGGGGACGGAGAAGGCUAUGUUGGCCGGGCGACGGUUGUCCCGGUUUAAGCGUGUAGGCUGGUUUUCCAGGCAAAUCCGGAAAAUCAAGGCUGAGGCGUGAUGACGAGGCACUACGGUGCUGAAGCGACAAAUGCCCUGCUUCCAGGAAAAGCCUCUAAGCAUCAGGUAACAUCAAAUCGUACCCCAAACCGACACAGGUGGUCAGGUAGAGAAUACCAAGGCGCUUGAGAGAACUCGGGUGAAGGAACUAGGCAAAAUGGUGCCGUAACUUCGGGAGAAGGCACGCUGAUAUGUAGGUGAAGCGACUUGCUCGUGGAGCUGAAAUCAGUCGAAGAUACCAGCUGGCUGCAACUGUUUAUUAAAAACACAGCACUGUGCAAACACGAAAGUGGACGUAUACGGUGUGACGCCUGCCCGGUGCCGGAAGGUUAAUUGAUGGGGUUAGCGGUAACGCGAAGCUCUUGAUCGAAGCCCCGGUAAACGGCGGCCGUAACUAUAACGGUCCUAAGGUAGCGAAAUUCCUUGUCGGGUAAGUUCCGACCUGCACGAAUGGCGUAAUGAUGGCCAGGCUGUCUCCACCCGAGACUCAGUGAAAUUGAACUCGCUGUGAAGAUGCAGUGUACCCGCGGCAAGACGGAAAGACCCCGUGAACCUUUACUAUAGCUUGACACUGAACAUUGAGCCUUGAUGUGUAGGAUAGGUGGGAGGCUUUGAAGUGUGGACGCCAGUCUGCAUGGAGCCGACCUUGAAAUACCACCCUUUAAUGUUUGAUGUUCUAACGUGGGCCCCUUACCGGGGUUGCGGACAGUGUCUGGUGGGUAGUUUGACUGGGGCGGUCUCCUCCUAAAGAGUAACGGAGGAGCACGAAGGUUGGCUAAUCCUGGUCGGACAUCAGGAGGUUAGUGCAAUGGCAUAAGCCAGCUUGACUGCGAGCGUGACGGCGCGAGCAGGUGCGAAAGCAGGUCAUAGUGAUCCGGUGGUUCUGAAUGGAAGGGCCAUCGCUCAACGGAUAAAAGGUACUCCGGGGAUAACAGGCUGAUACCGCCCAAGAGUUCAUAUCGACGGCGGUGUUUGGCACCUCGAUGUCGGCUCAUCACAUCCUGGGGCUGAAGUAGGUCCCAAGGGUAUGGCUGUUCGCCAUUUAAAGUGGUACGCGAGCUGGGUUUAGAACGUCGUGAGACAGUUCGGUCCCUAUCUGCCGUGGGCGCUGGAGAACUGAGGGGGGCUGCUCCUAGUACGAGAGGACCGGAGUGGACGCAUCACUGGUGUUCGGGUUGUCAUGCCAAUGGCACUGCCCGGUAGCUAAAUGCGGAAGAGAUAAGUGCUGAAAGCAUCUAAGCACGAAACUUGCCCCGAGAUGAGUUCUCCCUGACUCCUUGAGAGUCCUGAAGGAACGUUGAAGACGACGACGUUGAUAGG